UUAUGACGUGUAGGAGUUGCA
rnacentral:miRNA from 1 species